GAAUCAGAAAGAAGCAAGAAAGAAAAAACAAGAUACAGUAAUGAUGAUGAAAUAGGGAUGAGAGUGGCGAGACAAAAAAUUGGUAGGAAGAAAGAGAUUUAAGGCGAAUGAUGAGACGUAAUAAAUGCAAGAGCCGAAAGAUGAGAGAAGGAAGAAGCUGGAUAGAGCUGAAAGACGAAAGAGGAGAUUCGAGAGAUAGGAAACGAGACAGACGUAUAUAAUUCAAGAUACAGUAAUGACGUAAAAGGGUUGAUACAGGCGAGUCAAGAUAUUGGAAGUAAGAAAGAGACGUCAGACGAGUGGUGAGACAAGAUAGAGGCGAGAGAUGAGAGAGGAAAGAAUUGAGAUAGAUGCGAAAGACAAGAGAGGAAAGAUAAGAGACUAGAAAGUGAUAUUGGUGAGAAAGCAGUGAUGAGCGAUGAGAAAACGAGAAAGAGGCAAGACAGACAGGAAUAAAACGAGUUAUAGCUCAAGUAUGGAAAUUAGUAUAAAAAGUCGUUACAAGGGAGAAUCUUUGUAUUAUCGAAAUUUGAGAAUAAAUCGAAGAAGAAUGACUUAAAGGAUGAGAAGAAAAAUGACAAAGAAACCUGAUUUUGACCACACUUUUUAAAUCCAGUUCGGUCUCCUGGUCUCUAUACUCCAUGGUAUAUAAUAAGGGAAGAUUUAUGCAAAGAAAGUGAUAUGAUAACUACGCCCGAAUUCUCAUACAGACAACAGCGCUUUGACAUCGAGCGCUGAUUGGUGAAAAACGGAUGAAGAGGAUAAAUUUUACAA